AGCAGCCGCGGUAAUUCCAGCUCCAAUAGCGUAUAUUAAAGUUGCUGCAGUUAAAAAGCUCGUAGUUGAAUUUCGGGAUCAAUAUGUUGGUCGUGCCUCGGUACGUACUAGCUUAUUGGUUUCUCCCUUCUGACGAACCAUGAUGUCAUUUAUUUGGUGUUAUGGGAAAUCAGGACUGUUACUUUGAAAAAUUAGAGUGUUUAAAGCAGGCUCACGCUUGAAUACAUUAGCAUGGAAUAAUGAAAUAGGACGUUUGAUUCUAUUUUGUUGGUUUCUAGGAUCGACGUAAUGAUUAAUAGGGAUAGUUGGGGGCAUUAGUAUUCAAUUGUCAGAGGUGAAAUUCUUGGAUUUAUUGAAGACUAACUACUGCGAAAGCAUUUGCCAAGGAUGUUUUCAUUAAUCAAGAACGAAAGUUAGGGGAUCGAAGACGAUCAGAUACCGUCGUAGUCUUAACCAUAAACUAUGCCGACUAGGGAUCGGAUGAUGUUAAUUUUUAAU
rnacentral:misc_RNA from 1 species